CCUACGGGAGGCAGCCGUGAGGAAUAUUGGUCAAUGGGCGGAAGCCUGAACCAGCCAAGUCGCGUGAGGGAAUACGGCCCUACGGGUCGUAAACCUCUUUUGCCGGGGAGCAAGGGCGGGGACGUGUCCCGGCCCGGUUAGUACCCGGAGAAAAAGCAUCGGCUAACUCCGUGCCCGCAGCCGCGGUAAUACGGAGGGUGCGGGCGUUAUCCGGAUUUAUUGGGUUAAAAGGGUGCGUAGGCGGGAUUUUAAGUCAGCGGUAAAACUGCGGGGCUCAACCUCGUCCUGCCGUUGAAACUGGGGGCCUUGAGUGGGCGAGAAGAAGGCGGAAUGCGUGGUGUAGCGGUGAAAUGCAUAGAUAUCACGCAGAACCCCGAUUGCGAAGGCAGCCUUCCGGCGCCCAACUGACGCUGAGGCACGAAAGUGCGGGGAUCGAACAGGAUUAGAUACCCGUGUAGUC
rnacentral:rRNA from 1 species